rnacentral:rRNA from 1 species
GAUGAACGCUAGCGGCAGGCUUAAUACAUGCAAGUCGAGGGGUAGCAAGAUUGUAGCAAUACAAUUGUUGACGACCGGCAAACGGGUGCGGAACACGUACACAACCUUCCUACAAGUGGGGAAUAGCCCAGAGAAAUUUGGAUUAAUACCCCGUAACAUAGCGAUGUGGCAUCACAUUGCUAUUAUAUCUUCUGCGCUUGUUGAUGGGUGUGCGGCUGAUUAGAUAGUUGGCGGGGUAACGGCCCACCAAGUCUACGAUCAGUAGCUGAUGUGAGAGCAAGAUCAGCCACACGGCCAAGGAGAAACAGAACCGACUCAUACGGGAGGCAGAAGUAAGGAAUAUUGGACAAUGGACGCAAGUUUGAUCCAGCCAUGCCGCGUGAAGGAUUAAGGUCCUCUGGAUUGUAAACUUCUUUUAUAAGGGACGAAAAAAGGCCUUUCUAGUUCGUCUGACGGUACCUUAUGAAUAAGCACCGGCUAACUCCGUGCCAGCCGCCGCAGUAAAAC